UCCAUUUAGUGGUAUAAUUCCGGAGACUAAAAAGGCUGAGGAUAAUGGCUUUCUUGAGUUUGGGAGCUUUGAGCUACAGUGGGCUAACCUGGUAGGGUGUCCACACCAAGUUCAACAUAAAUAUGAUGAGCCCCUGGGAGCAGGGGGUCCCUCAGGUUGCCUAAGGAGAGGUAAAGUGUCUAGGUCAGAAAUGGAGCACGUCAAGGCUUCUGGGCCUAUCAGAGUGGGACCAGCCUGGGUCAGCGAACUUGAUUUGAGCUGGAGUUCUGACAAAAUUCAUUCUUA
rnacentral:SRP_RNA from 1 species